rnacentral:rRNA from 1 species
UGGGGAAUAUUGCACAAUGGGCGCAAGCCUGAUGCAGCAACGCCGCGUGAGGGAUGACGGCCUUCGGGUUGUAAACCUCUUUUAGUAGGGAAGAAGCGAAAGUGACGGUACCUGCAGAAAAAGCACCGGCUAACUACGUGCCAGCAGCCGCGGUAAUACGUAGGGUGCGAGCGUUGUCCGGAAUUAUUGGGCGUAAAGAGCUCGUAGGCGGUCUGUCGCGUCUGCUGUGAAAACCCGAGGCUCAACCUCGGGCCUGCAGUGGGUACGGGCAGACUAGAGUGCGGUAGGGGAGAAUGGAAUUCCUGGUGUAGCGGUGGAAUGCGCAGAUAUCAGGAGGAACACCGAUGGCGAAGGCAGUUCUCUGGGCCGUAACUGACGCUGAGGAGCGAAAGCGUGGGGAGCGAACAGGAUUAGAUACCCUGGUAGUCCACGCCGUAAACGUUGGGCGCUAGAUGUGGGGCACCAUUCCACGGUUUCCGUGUC